GGGUUGUGAGGUUAAGCGACUAAGCGUACACGGUGGAUGCCCUGGCAGUCAGAGGCGAUGAAGGACGUGCUAAUCUGCGAAAAGCGUCGGUAAGGUGAUAUGAACCGUUAUAACCGGCGAUGUCCGAAUGGGGAAACCCAGUGCAAUUCGUUGCACUAUCGUUAACUGAAUACAUAGGUUAACGAGGCGAACCGGGGGAACUGAAACAUCUAAGUACCCCGAGGAAAAGAAAUCAACCGAGAUUCCCCCAGUAGCGGCGAGCGAACGGGGAGCAGCCCAGAGUCUGAAUCAGCUUGUGUGUUAGUGGAACGGUCUGGAAAGUCCGACGGUACAGGGUGAUAGUCCCGUACACCAAAAUGCACAGGUUGUGAACUCGAAGAGUAGGGCGGGACACGUGGUAUCCUGUCUGAAUAUGGGGGGACCAUCCUCCAAGGCUAAAUACUCCUGACUGACCGAUAGUGAACCAGUACCGUGAGGGAAAGGCGAAAAGAACCCCGGCGAGGGGAGUGAAAAAGAACCUGAAACCGUGUACGUACAAGCAGUGGGAGCACCUUCGGGUGUGACUGCGUACCUUUUGUAUAAUGGGUCAGCGACUUAUAUUCUGUAGCAAGGUUAACCGUAUAGGGGAGCCGCAGGGAAACCGAGUCUUAACUGGGCGUUAAGUUGCAGGGUAUAGACCCGAAACCCGGUGAUCUAGCCAUGGGCAGGUUGAAGGUUGGGUAACACUAACUGGAGGACCGAACCGACUAAUGUUGAAAAAUUAGCGGAUGACUUGUGGCUGGGGGUGAAAGGCCAAUCAAACCGGGAGAUAGCUGGUUCUCCCCGAAAGCUAUUUAGGUAGCGCCUCGUGAACUCAUCUUCGGGGGUAGAGCACUGUUUCGGCUAGGGGGUCAUCCCGACUUACCAACCCGAUGCAAACUACGAAUACCGAAGAAUGUUAUCACGGGAGACACACGGCGGGUGCUAACGUCCGUCGUGAAGAGGGAAACAACCCAGACCGCCAGCUAAGGUCCCAAAGUCAUGGUUAAGUGGGAAACGAUGUGGGAAGGCACAGACAGCCAGGAUGUUGGCUUAGAAGCAGCCAUCAUUUAAAGAAAGCGUAAUAGCUCACUGGUCGAGUCGGCCUGCGCGGAAGAUGUAACGGGGCUAAACCAUGCACCGAAGCUGCGGCAGCGACACUAUGUGUUGUUGGGUAGGGGAGCGUUCUGUAAGCCUGCGAAGGUGUGCUGUGAGGCAUGCUGGAGGUAUCAGAAGUGCGAAUGCUGACAUAAGUAACGAUAAAGCGGGUGAAAAGCCCGCUCGCCGGAAGACCAAGGGUUCCUGUCCAACGUUAAUCGGGGCAGGGUGAGUCGACCCCUAAGGCGAGGCCGAAAGGCGUAGUCGAUGGGAAACAGGUUAAUAUUCCUGUACUUGGUGUUACUGCGAAGGGGGGACGGAGAAGGCUAUGUUAGCCGGGCGACGGUUGUCCCGGUUUAAGCAUGUAGGCUGGUUAUCCAGGCAAAUCCGGAUAAUCAAGGCUGAGGUGUGAUGACGAGGCACUACGGUGCUGAAGUAACAAAUGCCCUGCUUCCAGGAAAAGCCUCUAAGCAUCAGGUAACAUCAAAUCGUACCCCAAACCGACACAGGUGGUCAGGUAGAGAAUACCAAGGCGCUUGAGAGAACUCGGGUGAAGGAACUAGGCAAAAUGGUGCCGUAACUUCGGGAGAAGGCACGCUGGUGUGUAGGUGAAGCCCCUGCGGGUGGAGCUGAGACCAGUCGAAGAUACCAGCUGGCUGCAACUGUUUAUUAAAAACACAGCACUGUGCAAACACGAAAGUGGACGUAUACGGUGUGACGCCUGCCCGGUGCCGGAAGGUUAAUUGAUGGGGUUAUCCGUAAGGAGAAGCUCUUGAUCGAAGCCCCGGUAAACGGCGGCCGUAACUAUAACGGUCCUAAGGUAGCGAAAUUCCUUGUCGGGUAAGUUCCGACCUGCACGAAUGGCGUAAUGAUGGCCAGGCUGUCUCCACCCGAGACUCAGUGAAAUUGAACUCGCUGUGAAGAUGCAGUGUACCCGCGGCAAGACGGAAAGACCCCGUGAACCUUUACUAUAGCUUGACACUGAACAUUGAGCCUUGAUGUGUAGGAUAGGUGGGAGGCUUUGAAGCGUGGACGCCAGUCUGCGUGGAGCCAACCUUGAAAUACCACCCUUUAAUGUUUGAUGUUCUAACGUUGGCCCCUGACCGGGGUUGCGGACAGUGUCUGGUGGGUAGUUUGACUGGGGCGGUCUCCUCCCAAAGCGUAACGGAGGAGCACGAAGGUUAGCUAAUCCUGGUCGGACAUCAGGAGGUUAGUGCAAUGGCAUAAGCUAGCUUGACUGCGAGCGUGACGGCGCGAGCAGGUGCGAAAGCAGGUCAUAGUGAUCCGGUGGUUCUGAAUGGAAGGGCCAUCGCUCAACGGAUAAAAGGUACUCCGGGGAUAACAGGCUGAUACCGCCCAAGAGUUCAUAUCGACGGCGGUGUUUGGCACCUCGAUGUCGGCUCAUCACAUCCUGGGGCUGAAGUAGGUCCCAAGGGUAUGGCUGUUCGCCAUUUAAAGUGGUACGCGAGCUGGGUUUAGAACGUCGUGAGACAGUUCGGUCCCUAUCUGCCGUGGGCGCUGGAGAAUUGAGGGGGGCUGCUCCUAGUACGAGAGGACCGGAGUGGACGCAUCACUGGUGUUCGGGUUGUCAUGCCAAUGGCACUGCCCGGUAGCUAAAUGCGGAAGAGAUAAGUGCUGAAAGCAUCUAAGCACGAAACUUGCCCCGAGAUGAGUUCUCCCUGAGACUAUAAGUCUCCUGAAGGAACGUUAAAGACGAUGACGUUGAUAGGCCGGGUGUGUAAGCGCAGCGAUGCGUUGAGCUAACCGGUACUAAUGAACCGUGAGGCUUAACCUUACAACGCCGAAG
rnacentral:rRNA from 1 species